rnacentral:rRNA from 1 species
CCCGGUAAACGGCGGCCGUAACUAUAACGGUCCUAAGGUAGCGAAAUUCCUUGUCGGGUAAGUUCCGACCUGCACGAAUGGCGUAAUGAUGGCCAGGCUGUCUCCACCCGAGACUCAGUGAAAUUGAACUCGCUGUGAAGAUGCAGUGUACCCGCGGCAAGACGGAAAGACCCCGUGAACCUUUACUAUAGCUUGACACUGAACAUUGAGCCUUGAUGUGUAGGAUAGGUGGGAGGCUUUGAAGUGUGGACGCCAGUCUGCAUGGAGCCGACCUUGAAAUACCACCCUUUAAUGUUUGAUGUUCUAACGUUGACCCGUAAUCCGGGUUGCGGACAGUGUCUGGUGGGUAGUUUGACUGGGGCGGUCUCCUCCUAAAGAGUAACGGAGGAGCACGAAGGUUGGCUAAUCCUGGUCGGACAUCAGGAGGUUAGUGCAAUGGCAUAAGCCAGCUUGACUGCGAGCGUGACGGCGCGAGCAGGUGCGAAAGCAGGUCAUAGUGAUCCGGUGGUUCUGAAUGGAAGGGCCAUCGCUCAACGGAUAAAAGGUACUCCGGGGAUAACAGGCUGAUACCGCCCAAGAGUUCAUAUCGACGGCGGUGUUUGGCACCUCGAUGUCGGCUCAUCACAUCCUGGGGCUGAAGUAGGUCCCAAGGGUAUGGCUGUUCGCCAUUUAAAGUGGUACGCGAGCUGGGUUUAGAACGUCGUGAGACAGUUCGGUCCCUAUCUGCCGUGGGCGCUGGAGAACUGAGGGGGGCUGCUCCUAGUACGAGAGGACCGGAGUGGACGCAUCACUGGUGUUCGGGUUGUCAUGCCAAUGGCACUGCCCGGUAGCUAAAUGCGGAAGAGAUAAGUGCUGAAAGCAUCUAAGCACGAAACUUGCC